rnacentral:rRNA from 1 species
GCGAUUCCCGUAGUAGCGGCGAGCGAAAUGGGAACAGCCCAGCGCAUAAUCUCCCAGGCUACCAAGCCUGCGGCGAAAUGUUGCGUCAAGGGAAUGGUCGCUAACAGCCUCGUGCGCCCGUAGAUGUUGCCUAAUCGCGUCUUGAAAUAUUCGCGCAUGUUGGGUGCUACGUCUCUCGGGAUGAAUCGCUCAACUCACGGUACCAUGGAGGGUGCAAGCCCCGUUCGGCCGCGUGUUGUUGCGUGCGAAGGUUAGACCAGUUUUCCCGGAGAGUCGCGUUGUUUGAACGUACAGCGCUAAGUAGGUGGUAAACUCCACCUAAGGCUAAAUAUAUCCACAGAACCGAUAGCUAACAAGUACCGCGAGGGAAAGUUGAAAAGUACUCUGGAGAGAGGGUGCAAAGACCGUGAAACCAUCCAGGGCAAAAGCCAAUGUCGAGUAUCCUAGUUGCGCUGGGACCAUCUCUCGGGAUGAAGAUGGGUGUGGUCGUAACUUUUGAGUAUCUGCGUGCGUUUAUGUGUGUGGACUCAUUUGUUCGUCCGUCAAUUAUCCAUCUCUCGUGUCCAUUAACAGCCCAUCGGAACUCUUGCUAGAUCAUUCGUGGUAGUGCUGUCUAGAUCUUAUGCGUGCGUUAAGAGAUUUUCCCCAUCGAAAGCACACGCCAGAUAUAUAGCUCCUAGUAGUCUCCGGCGAAGAGAGUGUAUCUGCGUGCCGGUGCAUUGUAUGCUUUUACGGGGGAUGUCUUGUACGUAUGAACUAGAACGCGCUGUCAAUGCGUUUUAGAUUCUGGGCGAGAGUUUAAAAGACACAUUCAUUACAGAAUCCGUCUCCAACGUGCCUGGGAAAGCAACGUACGAGUUGGUGGAAGUAGUGAGUCUGAUGCGGUGGUAUGCCUAGGCGACAUUGGUCACGUCUCGAAACACGGGCCAAGGAGCAUAGCGUAAAGGCAAGUCGCAAGGUCUUAAUAAACCUCGUGGCGAGUGAAAGCGAGUGAUGGAUGAUUAAUUUCGUUCGUAGGUGGUGUGAUUAGAGUUCCAUUAUUGAGUCUCUGGUCAUUUCCAUCGUCUUGUACAGAGCUGAUCCUCUAGUUCCUUGGAACGAAAAGGCGCAAGCUCCGGGCUCGCUCGUUGUUCACUUUCAGGGGUCUCGUAUUUCUGGAGUGACUGAGAGAGCACUGCUUAGACUUUCCGCUAUAACCCGAAAGAUAGUGAACUAUGCUUGGCGAAGACGAAGCCCCAGGAAACUGUGGUGGAAGUCUGUAGCCGUUGUGACGUGCAAAUCCAUGGUGUCAGCUGAGCAUAGGGGCGAAAGACCAAUCGAACUAUCUAGUAGCUGGUUCCGUUCGAAGUUUCUCUCAGGAUAGCUUGCGCGAAGCAUACGCUCUUUGUCUAGACUCUCGUGCGCGUAAGUGUUCGAGUGUUAGCCCUAUAAGUCUGACGCAAUUGAGACGUGUGACUUGUCAUCUCGUUCUAUCUCAUACUCAGAUACCGGUUAGCGGAAUUGAUAAUUUGCAGUUACGUCUGGUAAAGAGAAUGAGUAGAGUUGGCUCGUUGGUCUUUUUGUAUCAACGGCAGCGGGGCGUUUUACGCCUCGCACUAUUAUCAAACUUUAAAUGGGCGUGAAACCUGGCAUUGACUUGAUUGUUUGAUGCCAGGAAUGACGUAUGCAUGCGUUUCGACGCAUGCAUGGAGAAUGCUCCCGCGUUAAGUGGGUCCGUUCUGGUAAGCAGAACUGAUAAUGAGGGAUGAACCUAACGUACGUGAUAAGGGGCCCAAAUGACAGCUAUUUCUCGAAACCAUUGGAAAGGUGUUGCUUGCUGAAGACAGCAGGACGGUGGUCAUGGAAGUUGACAUCCGCUAAGGAGUGUGUAACAACUCAUCCUGCCGAAGCGAGUAACCCUGAAAAUGGAUGGCUCUAUAGCUCUCUCCCGAUGCACGACCGUUACGGCACGAGAGAUCUAGUGUCUCAAUGCCUUAACGAGUAGAAUGGCGUGCUGGUAAGCGUAGAAGGCCUUUGCGUGAGCUUGGCCCGAGCUGCCAGCAGUGCAGAUCUUGGUGGUAGUAGCAAGUACUCUGGUGAAUAACCUUGAGCUGUGAGGUUGAUAAGGGUUCCAUGUCAACAGCGUUUGAACAUGGGUAAGCCGGUCCUAAGCUACCUUUAUGUCUUGAAGGUGACGGUUUAUGCGAUAGCGUACGGAGUACGAUUUGUUUAUACACUGGUCCUAAUCUCACGAGCGGAUCUUUUGAUUUGUCGCAAAUGUUUCUCAGUCAACAACGAAAGGACUUUGCGUUUCAUUUUGGCCGCAAGGUGACGAAUAGUGGGUUGAAGAAGCAGAGGUGGACACUGAGACUGAUUACUAUUAGGAGAUGAAGAUCGUUUUUGUGUGACAGAUCGGAAACGUUGCUCUAGCGUAGCCUGGCGAAAGGGAAAUGUGAACUCAGUUCAUAUGCCUCUCCUGGCACCCUGAAACGGCUUGCCGUGACACGGACCUAGCGAUAGACGCCAGGCCAGUCGUUGUCAUAAGUAGCUCAGCGGGGAGAUUUCUUCUCUCUUUGAUAAGGCUCGUAGCUCUGAAAACACCUCGCGUGGCGGAAGAGCGAUGCCUUGUAUAGCAGAGUACUCUGGUCCCUCGAGUAGUCUGACGCUACUUGUGAUCCGUGAAAAGGUGGCCGAGGGGAUACAGUUAAAGGUGUAAGUGACGUAUCUCAGUAGCAUACGAUUUAACCGAAAGAUCGCAUGGCAGUACACUGCGUCUGCGGUACGAAUAGGGGAUCCUUGUGAACAGAGCUACUUACCACACUUUACUCGAGUGUUAGCCACGGAGUGACCGUACCCAUUUCCGCUCCGUCUCAAA